GUGAUGUUGGUUCUCUGGUACCAGGAACUGUAUAUGAUACUGACAGUACAUUUUACUUUCACUAUGGAGGAGGUGGAGCAUGAUUUUAUUUAAUUGCUGCGUGUUGCUCCGGCCGCCCAGAGUUGCUCACUUGUGGGUGUGCUUGCAGCAUGUAGCAUCAUGUUCGAUUGUGUGUCCAGAAUUCAGCAUAGCAAGUUUGCAUGAAGGUCUGGUUAUUUAAUGGAUACAGAGACCAGUGAAAGCCUGUCUGCAGAUAAAGAGGUCCCAAUGGAGAGCAGUGGUUCUCAGUCCUGGUCCUGGGGACUCAAAGGGGGGCACAUUUUUGUUUUUGCCUUAGCACUGCACAGCUGAUUGAAAUGAUCAACUCAUCAUCAAGCUUCCAGUGAUACCUUGCAAUUGGUGAUUCCUUCAAAACGAUUGCCUACAGUUACCGUGUAGGGCACUGCAAGGUUGGGUGACCAGGGCCAUCUGGGACUGCCUCCUGGGGGAAUUCAGGUGUGUGUGAAGGCUACCUGUGUCCUGCAUAACUUCAUGAGGAUGGACACGAGGACCAGGAGGGGAUCUGCAGCUCUGCAGGAUUGCUUCCUGUGUGCCAGAGGAGAGGUCUGCUGCUCUGCAGGAUGUUUCAAGGAUGGGGGCCAACAAUGCAGCACGGGAAGCAAUCCGUGUGCGGGAGAUCUUCACCUCCUACUUCUUCGUUGAGGGUGCUGUUCUCUGGCAACACCAUAGACUACACUAUGCACAACCAAAGGCUUUUUUAAGAGCCAUUCACAUUGCAAUAAGAAUAUUCUUCCAUUUACUUCGCUAUGUCAACUGCAGUUAUUCAAUUCCCAGUUUCUCUCCCUUUGAUUUCUACUUCUCAGGUGAGGGUGCUGUUUAGGUAAGGGUGAUGUCUGUACAAAAACAUAACAGGCUCUUUUAAGAGUCACCCAUAUUGAAACAAUUUAGAACAAUUAGACACCCUAUAACCCACACCUACACACUUGUGUAUCAAUCUGAUUGAUGGAUUGUUGUGCAGUAAGCAGGCUCAGGUGUAUAACUGUGGCUCCUUCCACCUUCAAAGAAUAGGCAAGAGGAUCAACCAUGGAGAAUAGUAAGACACUUUAUUAUUUAUAUUUAUUUAACUACGCUAUAUUGUAGUUCGUCAUGUGUCUGUGCAUGUUUUUCAGUAUAAAGUACUCUGCAGCCACUUAGUGUGGACACCAUGUGAGGCCACACACAC